rnacentral:lncRNA from 1 species
GGAAGAGUUGUGCUCUUCCAGCAAACCAAAGCCUCGGCCGUUUACUUUAUCUCAUCAGUGCUGCAGUGACCUAACUGCAGAUGCUUAAAAAAGCCGUGCUUACUGCAUUAUACUUUUCAUUUUUCUUGUAAAAUAAACUACUAAUCUUCUCUUAUAGAGUCUUUUAAAGAGAACAUUACAUUAAUUAUAUUUGGAAUGAGGGCAUCCUUUUAUACUUAGGGUGGGUUUCUCCAUCUCCCCCUUUUCACGUGUUUUUCCUUCCUAUUCAGCAUCUCUUAUAACAGAUCAGUCUCUUUUAUCUCCUCUCUUUCGUAUUUUCUCCUACUCUUAUAGAGGCUCCUUAGGAGAGGAUGAAGAAAACACCUUCAGGAUGUUAUUUAUAAUUGAUUCGAUGAUUGUCAAUUAGGUCUGAUGGAUUACAGAGGUUCAGGAUCAUAACUUUAAAACCAUGUGAUUUCUACAUCCAAAGGCUUUGGAAGUCAGUUGGAUUUUUGCCUAUAAGAAAGAACAAGAGAUUGGGGACCUAGAUCCUGUAAUGGCAUUAAUUUCUGCUGUUGAAAUAAAGCCAGAUUUUAACACUGAAUUUAAGGGAUGGCAAGUACGUAAGUUAGGGUUAUUAUCCAAUAAAAUAUAGAAGUCUCACAAAGAACAACCCUUAAUCCUGGGGAUUGGGUGGGACUUGAUAUUUAUUUCUAUUUCCUGUUUAAAUAUCUGUUUGAAUUGCUAUUCUCACAAUACCAAAGGCAAGCUGAGACACGCACUACUCUAUCAAACAGAGAAAGCCUCCCUAUUAGAGUUUCUCCUCCUCUUGUGGAUAUUUAAUUCAGUUAUAUAUAGUUAAGAGGUCAUAGCCCAUGCUGUGUCCAUGGAAACUGCCCAACUCUUGCAAACUUGUAAGGGAGAAGAUAGUGUUAGUUUGUUCAUGGAAACUCAACAGAUUCUAUAUCCAGCCUUUCUUAAGUCACAGAAUGUGAUUUCAGAACCAGUGGAGUUUUUGGAAACCUGUCAUCACAUGGCAUUGCCGUUGAUACAGGAAAUGUGGAAAGAACACUGAAGGACUUCUGAAGGAACAUGUUUACAAGGACAGAGAUGAGGCAGAGCCCUGUGGAGAUUGGAGCUGGUCCAGAAGACCCAGAAGUUUGGACAGACAUCAUAGAAAACACUGGAAAACCAUCAAAAGUUGUACUUUUUGGCCUGCCAGCUCACCGGAUGUAGGGUGGAAGAAAAAGGAAGGAGCCCACAUGCCAUAUAUAGGGGUGAGCAUCCGAGGCUGGCUAUGCCUGUGUUGACAAAAAAAUGCAGAGGGAUUGGCUUACUGUCUUCUACUUUUUCCUAGUCCUGUCAACUCUUCACACUAUCUUGCAAAGGGAAAAGCAUUACCUUAUGUAGACUUUUAGGUCAACAUGAGUUUUAGGUACUAGAUUUCACAUGCCAGUAUUCUGAAGUGAGAAUAUCCAAGAAAAUGUGAAUGAGAAACCUGGAAAAUAAUUACUGAAUUCUUCCGAGAAGCAUUGAAACCAUUGAUUUUUGUCUUGUCAUUCACUGAGCCUGAUGAAUGCUAGACAUGCCUGUUAAAAGGCCCCUCAGAUUUAGAUUAUUACAGUCUUCAAGACAAGAGCUAUGCUGCCAUAUUCAGGUUCUCUUGGUUUUAUUUAUGAUAAAUCCUUUAAAACAGUGUUAUUUUUUAUGUACUCUUCCAUUUGGUUAGUAGUAUGUUUAUAGUGAUUUUUAAAGAAUG